rfam:Candidatus Thrbacteria bacterium RIFCSPLOWO2_01_FTLL_47_24 rifcsplowo2_01_scaffold_1067, whole genome shotgun sequence.
UGCUUCAGUGUCAAGGGCGUAUGGUGGAUGCCUUGGGAUGGAGAGGCGAUGAAGGACGUAGCAGCCUGCGAUAAGCGUCGGGGAGCUGGCAAGCAAGCUUUGAUCCGGCGAUGUCCGAAUGGGGCAACCCUAUGCAGUGUUGAACUGCAUAAUCUCCCACAGCAAUGUGGGCGAAGUAAACCUGGUGAAGUGAAACAUCUCAGUAACCAGAGGAAAAGAAAAUAAAGACCACGAAAAUUGAAACACGAAAAGACACGAAAUUAUUUCGUGAGUUUCGUGCCCGAUUUUUUGUGGAUAUUCCCCUAGUAGUGGCGAGCGAACGGGGAAAAGCCUAGAUCUUCUACUUUUAAGUAGCGAGGCGAGUGUUGCAUCGAAAGGUGUGACGCUACGUGCGUUGCGGAAGGCUCAAGGGCUACAUAAGUAGAAGAAGUUGUAAGUUUGUCAUGAUCGCUGCCUUGAAAGGCGAGGUAGGGUGUACAAAGCAUAGCUUCCCUAGUAGAAUCCGCUGGAAUGCGGAACCAAAGAGGGUGACAGUCCCGUACGCGAAAGGGGUUAUCGCCUUACUAUGACUAUACUUGAGUACCGCGGGACACGUGAAAUCCCGUGGGAAACCGGCGCGACUAUGCGCCAAGGCUAAAUACUCCUCCAUCACCGAUAGUGAACAAGUACCAUGAGGGAAAGGUGAAAAGUAGGCCGGUGAGGCCGAUGAAAUAAAACCUGAAACCAUACGCUUACAAGGAAUCAACGCCGAUGCGUAGCAUCGGGAAUGACGAAACCAGAAUGACGAAUGACGAAUUAAAUUUCGACAUUCGGAUUUCGAAAUUCGGAUUUCCGCUGCUACGUAGCGGUUAUGGUGUUCCUAUUGAAGAAUGAGCCAACGAGUUUGUUGCGCGUUGCAAAGUCUAAGUCCUACGGGACGAAGGCGCAGGGAAACCAAGUCUGAAAGGGCGACCCCGCUGAUUUUUUGGCGCUGAUUUCGCUGAUUUGUAUCAGCGUUAUCUGCGUCGAUAAAUCUGCGGACAAGCAGCGUGCACAAGACCCGAAACCCAGUGAGCUAACCAUGGACAGGGUGAAGUUUGUCGAAAGACAGAUGGAGGCCCGAACCCGUAAGCUGUGCAACACUUUGGGAUGAUCUGUGGUUAGAGGUGAAAUGCCAAUCGAACUGGGUAAUAGCUGGUUCUCCCCGAAAUAUACUGUGGUAUAGCCUCAAGGAUUGUCUGCGGAGGUAGAGCACUGAAUCGAUCGUGGCGGAGCAAUCCGUCGCAUCGAAUCAAACUCCGAAUGCCGUAUGAUGUACCUUGGGAGUCAGAGCAUGGGGGCUAAGCUCCAUCGCUCAAAAGGGAUACAGCCCUGAUCUUCGUCUAAGGUCCCAAAAUCGUGCCGACGUGAAGUCGGCAUCCCGUAUCCCGCAAGGGCAUCGGGACCGCUCAGUGUGAAAGGAAGUGGUGCGGCUCAAACAACCAGGAGGUUGGCUUAGAAGCAGCCACCCUUUAAAGAAAGCGUAACAGCUCACUGGUCGAGCCGUGCCGCGCCGAAAAUGUACCGGGGCUUAAGCGGCGUACCGAAGACAAGAGUCGAUGCUUCGCAUCGGGAAAUGUCUAAUUCACCUAAUUCACCUAAUUCACCUAAUAAAAUCCAAAAGUACCAAUACCUAAUAACCAAACUUGGAAAUUAAACAUUGGGCAUUGGAAAUUUUAUUAGAAAUUAGGUCAAUUAGAAAUUAGAAAUUCCGACGCGGAGCGUCGGCGGUAGGGGAGCAUUCUUGCUGCGUUGAAGUGGUAGGCGUGAGCCGCCAUGGAGCGGCAAGAAGAGAGAAUGUUGGCAUAAGUAGCACAAAUGAAGGUGAGAACCCUUCACACCGUAAGGGGAAGGUUUCCUGGGCAACGCAAAUCGUCCCAGGGUUAGUCGGUCCUAAGGCGAGGCCGAAAGGCGUAGUCGAUGGACAGCAGGUUAAUAUUCCUGCACUGCCGAAAGAGUCAUUUCAAGGUGCGCGUUCUCGGAGUUCCCGCGUGUUUUUGGAUACGCACGUCCCUGCAAAGGGUAAUGUGAAGCCGCAAGGUGGAUCAGAUGAGAGUAAAGAGUACGCCUAGAAAAGCUUUGAAGCCCUGUCUUUUGGCAACCGUACCGUAAACCGACACAGGUCCCCGGGCACAAUUGUGCCAAGGUGAACGAGAGAACCCUCGUUUAGGAACUCGGCAAAAAAGUGGCCGUAACUUAGGGAUAAGGCCUGCCCCGCGCAAGCGGGGCUGCAACAAGCGUCUCUCAAGUGACUGUUUACCAAAAACAUAGGUCCCUGCGAAGUCGUAAGACAAUGUAUAGGGGCUGAUGCCUGGCCAGUGUCAGAACGUUAAGGAGAGAAGUCAUGUGCGCCGCAAGGCGCGCGGCAGCUUUGAACCGAAGCGCUGAUGAACGCCGGCGAUAACUAUAAUCGUCCUAAGGUGGAAUUGCUGCCUUAGUGGGGUGAAAGACCCCCUUCGAACUUCGCAAUGCCUGCGAAGAUGUAGAAGAAAAUCUGACUAUAUCGGUGAACAUCUCGAUAAGCAUCGAGACAAUACCGAGGCAACCUUAACACGAAAGUGUUGAGAGAGUCCGUAGAGACUAUAUGCCAGACUCCCGUAUCAAAUACGUGGAGAAGAUAGAGUCCGAUCUGCAUGGCGACAUGCAGAGCAUGGCAGAAAUGACCAUGCCCAUCCUUAAUAGGAUGAGUAACACGAUAAGCGAAAUCCCUUGUCGGGUGAACAAUGUUUCCGGUCGGGAACACUCGCCCGAAUGCUGUGGCGACAUGGCAUUAGUACGCCGACUCAUAACGGUGGAUAUCCUAUGAUACAAUAGGACAAUACCGUGGGAAGUCGUCCCGCCUAGGCGGACUGACCCCGUAACGACUGAUCCGAAAGGAGAGGGUUGUCCCGAUAUCUAUCGGGAUGGCCAACACGUCGGCUCUGGCUGAAAAAGCAUUCCAUGGAGAUUAUAUCUCCUAAUGAUUGUAGCCAGAUGAAAGUAUAGUCUAAACAUCAUGGUAACAUGAUGAAGUAAAUGGAGUUCCGACCUGCACGAAUGGCAUAACAACUUGAGAACUGUCUUAACGAGGGACUCGGCGAAAUUGCAAGACUCGUGAAGAUGCGA